rnacentral:rRNA from 1 species
CGAGCCUGAUGCAGCCAUGCCGCGUGUGUGAAGAAGGCCUUCGGGUUGUAAAGCACUUUCAGUCAGGAGGAAAGGGUGUGAGUUAAUACCUCAUAUCUGUGACGUUACUGACAGAAGAAGCACCGGCUAACUCCGUGCCAGCAGCCGCGGUAAUACGGAGGGUGCGAGCGUUAAUCGGAAUUACUGGGCGUAAAGCGUACGCAGGCGGUUUGUUAAGCGAGAUGUGAAAGCCCCGGGCUCAACCUGGGAACUGCAUUUCGAACUGGCAAACUAGAGUGUGAUAGAGGGUGGUAGAAUUUCAGGUGUAGCGGUGAAAUGCGUAGAGAUCUGAAGGAAUACCGAUGGCGAAGGCAGCCACCUGGGUCAACACUGACGCUCAUGUACGAAAGCGUGGGGAGCAAACGGGAUUAGAUACCCCGGUAGUCCACGCCGUAAACGAUGUCUACUAGAAGCUCGGAACCUCGGUUCUGUUUUUCAAAGCUAACGCAUUAAGUAGACCGCCUGGGGAGUACGGCCGCAAGGUUAAAACUCA